UUAAGUCAGUCAUUCAGUAAGUAAGUAAGUAAGGUGUUCCUAUUCUUUUUUAACACAGGGCGGGCGUUUUAAGCGCCACAGGAAGAAAAAAACUAAACAAAAUAUAUUUGUUUGUUCGGGCACUGACGUAGUGUCACGGUGUCACUCGAGCCGAGCCAAGCCAAGCCGUAUUUAAAAUGAAAAAGACUGCAAGAAAACGCGCGCAUUCAAGAUCAGAACGAUGGUACGAUGACGAAUUCAGGGCUCGUUUAAACAUUUACCGUUUGCGCUUACUAAAUAGUGUCAUUUGGGAGAACAACAUCUCACUUUGGGCGAUGCGACAAACCGUAGAAUAUGUGCAAGGGUGAACGACAACGAACCGCAUCCCGCCUGCCAACUGAACCGUCACUCCAGUGCGUGUGCUUCUCGCCUUCGGAAGAACCAUUUUGGACUCAAGCUACUUUGAUACCAUUGACAUGCAGGAUUACAAAUGGCUACCUGAAUACUGCUUAAAUUGGCGAGUUCUGUUGCAGCACUUAUCCUCUAUUCUAUGGGCUGGCGACAGCAGCAGUAGCAUACAACCCCACAAGCACUUGUGCUGUUGACUGCCUUCAACGGAGAUGCAUUGGGUCCACCAAGAAUUGAAGCACAACUUUUUCAUCAAGGAUGUGACAUCAGUAAAGGGGACUUGGUUUGCUCCCAGGAGUGCUCCUGGCACACUUUGUCAUUUCCACCCCUGCUGUUCCCGAAUCUCGGAGGUGGUGAAGAGCAAGCUUGUGCGCAAAGGGAAAAUGCACAAUUUACUCGUGUGUCCUGUUGAAAUCUUGAAGAGAUGAAAAAUUCAUGAACAUGGGCUGUCACUGGAGCCGACAUUUCGACAAGUGGACUGGUCUUCUUCAAGGCUCCUACUGCAAAUCUGCACCUGCAGAUUUUUGUACUUAUGGUGUGCCAACAUUAAUUUGAUUGCACUAUGACGCUGUCACAUUUGUCAAACUUCAAUAAAAGUUUUACAUUUUUCUGCUUUGUUAUACAUCUGGGACUUCCUCAAAGGACCCACUCUGAUAAACAUCGAAAGUACCGUGACAGUACCUGUAAA